rnacentral:rRNA from 1 species
UACGUAGGGGCCUAGCGUUGUCCGGAUUUAUUGGGCGUAAAGAGCUCGUAGGCGGUUCGGUAAGUCAGGUGUGAAAUCUCCACGCUCAACGUGGAGGCGCCACCUGAAACUGCCGUGACUCGAGUCCGGUAGGGGAGUGUGGAAUUCCCGGUGUAGUGGUGAAAUGCGUAGAUAUCGGGAGGAAUACCAGUGGCGAAGGCGGCUUCCUGGCCUGUUCUUGACGCUGAGGCGCGAAAGCUGGGGGAGCAAACGGG